AGCUUUGCGCAGUGGCAGUAUCAUAGCCAAUGAGGUUUAUCCAAGGCGCAAUUAUUGCUAAUUGGGAAAAAAAGCCAUAACACUGCACUUUAAGGUGUCAACACUCUAGCACUUCGGAUUUGAA
ensembl:snRNA U4 U4 spliceosomal RNA